rnacentral:rRNA from 1 species
GUUAGGAAUAUUGGACAAUGGGCGCAAGCCUGAUCCAGCCAUGCCGCGUGUGUGAAGAAGGCCUUCGGGUUGUAAAGCACUUUUGUCCGGGAAGAAAUCUUCCAGGUUAAUACCCUGGGAGGCUGACGGUACCGGAAGAAUAAGCACCGGCUAACUUCGUGCCAGCAGCCGCGGUAAUACGAAGGGUGCAAGCGUUACUCGGAAUUACUGGGCGUAAAGCGUGCGUAGGUGGUUCGUUAAGUCUGCCGUGAAAGCCCCGGGCUCAACCUGGGAAUGGCGGUGGAUACUGGCGGGCUAGAGUGCGGUAGAGGGUGGUGGAAUUCCCGGUGUAGCAGUGAAAUGCGUAGAGAUCGGGAGGAACAUCUGUGGCGAAGGCGGCCACCUGGACCAGCACUGACACUGAGGCACGAAAGCGUGGGGAGCAAACAGGAUUAGAAACCCGAGUAGUCC